AAAUAAAGUGCUGACAGUGCAG
rnacentral:miRNA from 1 species